rnacentral:lncRNA from 1 species
AGCCACACAAGUGACCCCAGGCGACGAUGGCACUUCUAAGCAUAACUGGUAGACAAGGUAACAGAGGUGGAGAGACUAGCGGCUGUAGCAGCAGAGUCACGUGAUCCAGCAUCCUACGUGCAUGUGCGCUCUCCGUUACCCGCCGAUCCGGCUUGGUGUGCUUCUCGUGUUUGCGGGUUGUGUGCCACACUUGAUUAAGCACCCCACGUUCUCCUACAGUGCGCCCUUGACCCUGGCUUUAGGUAGCGCUGUGUCCUCGGCUUGCCGUGCAUAAUCCAGGUAUGCGCCAACUCUCCGAGCUCCUGCUCACCAUUGGUGUUGCUCGAGCGUGGGUUCUGGUGUCGCGCAUAAAGGGAACACGGGAUGUGUGAUUGUGACAGUUCACAUAGC